rnacentral:rRNA from 1 species
CGUGGGUGACCUGCCCUCAAGUGGGGAAUAACGCUGCGAAAGCAGCGCUAAUACCGCAUACGCUCCGCGGUUCAGUCGGCGGAGCAAAGCUCCACGCGCUUGAGGAGGGGCCUGCGGCCGAUUAGCUAGUCGGUGGGGUAAUGGCCUACCGAGGCGACGAUCGGUAGCUGGUCUGAGAGGAUGAUCAGCCACACUGGGACUGAGACACGGCCCAG